UCGUGAAUAAUUCAUCGCUCUCACCGCUGGCCCUCCCAGCCAAUCGAGACUGAGAGAACCUUCUCCGGCACAACCUUCUUACCUUGCAUCCGGCCAAUCGCAAAGGGAAAGCAAACUGCUCUGCCACUGAUUAGUUAGAAGGAAGAUUGAAGCAAAGACUAGAGAGCAACCUUGCCUCAGUCACCUUUUGGAAACCGUUACCUGCAACAGGCAACUGGAAGUUCCAGAAUUGCUACAUCAGGUGUUGUUUUCCCGGUUUCAUUAGAGGUUUGACCAUGUCCCUGAGGGAAAGCAAAAAGCGUCACCAGUGUCAUUGUCACCAAAUUGGAGACUGAUUAGCAUUUAGUUUGGUAAAAAGGCUAGGAUGUUAGGAGCUCCAGCAGGACCAAUGCAGAGAAGUGGGAAUACAUAUCCUAUGAUCCUUUUUUUUUUCUUCAGCUUCAUCAUCUUGCUGUGUUGUCAGAAAACUGAUCCUCAGACAACCUGGCAUAGCUUUCUCCAACCUCAUGCCCUGCAGAUGGGUUGGCCAUACUGACUGGGAAUGAUGGGAGUUGCAGUCCAAAUGGACUGGAGGGUACCAAGCUGUUCAGAGUCUGAGAUGACUUUGUUUAAGUGUGUGUGUGAGGGGGAAUUAUGAAUAGUGAUGAUGCCUAUGCUAUUUUGCAGUGAUUAGCAAAUAUACACACAGAUUUACAUGCUCUUAUGUGCACACAUAAUGGCCUGAAGCUGCGAGCUGGGGAGGGGAGAAGGAAACAGUGACAGUCUUGAUGUUGCCAUCAUGAAAAUACAACCUGUGCUCCAGAUUGGAUAUCUGAUGAAAUACAGAACUCAUCCCAGCUAAACUGACUGUCUCACGGGAUGGUACUGGGCAAGUAAGUUCUGCUCAGCACCAAUUUCCUCCUGUAAAAUGGGCAUAUUAAUAAACUUCGCCAGAUGUGAAUUAAA